rnacentral:ribozyme from 1 species
AGUGAGAGAAAUGAGACAGAAAAAAAAAAAAAACAUUGUUUAGACAGAGAAAAGAAACAUGUUUUGUGACGCCCCCCCCCCCUUUUUUUUUUUUUUUUUUU